UGUUUAACUUUGAAGAGCUGCCAAACUUGUUCUUUUCUCCUGUUCAGUGUUUUUCUCCAAUAUGAGGGAUUGAACCCAGGGCUUCAAUCAUGCUAGGUGAGUGCUGUACCACUGAGCUACAUCCCCAGCCCUUUGAAAAUUUUUAUUUUAAGACAGAGUCUGACUAAGUUGCUUAGGCUGGCCUGGAACUUGUGAUCUUCUUGCUUUAGCCUCCAGAGUAACUAGAACUGUAGGUAGCCACCUACAGUGCAUACACCUGUAGGUGUAUGCCACCAUGCUGAACUGAAUACGAAUUCUAUUAAAGUUCCUGGCAAGAAAAAAAAAAAAUGACACAAACUGAACAAGUAGAAUUUUUAUCAAAACUAAGCAUGAAAGCUGGGCAUGGUCUACAUAACUAUGAUCCCAGCAACUUGAUAAACAGGAGGAUUGCAAGUUCAAGGCCAGCAUUGGCAACUUAGUGAUACUUUGGCUCAAAAUUUAAAAAAAAAUAAGAAAAGCCUGAGGAUGUAGUUGAAUGGCAGAGUGCCCCUGAGAUAAGAAAAAAGAUAGCAAAACAUGAUUGUGCUAAUUUUAACCAAAAGCUGAACUCUGUGGUCAGUAAAAUCCAAUUAUAUGGAAUAACUAUGGUGUAUGUACUCCCCUUUAUGCCUCUUGAUUGACAGACUUAAGUCAAACAGACAGACUUCAUUUGUUCUGUUUUCAAUUUGGACUUUCAAUUGUGACUUUCUUUUUUCUAAUUCCAGCAAAAGUUGUUUGAAACCAGAUAUAUAGUUCUUGGAAAUUUCCCUAGUGCCUCAGCAGAAUGGCAUCUUCCCAAGAAAAAAUGUUUAUUCUUUUUGACACCUAGUCUCUAAGAAAGGAAUCCUGGGCUAGGUCUGCUUUUUGCCAGAUAGUCCAGUUGCAUGUAGUUGCUCUGUAAUCUUGGCCAUUGUUCAGAACUGUCAUCGUCUUGUCUUUCUCUUGUAUCAAUUUUUUUUUUCUUGUUUGUUUAAUUGCAUUUCUGGGGAUUGAACUCAAGGCCUCGUGCAUGCUAAGUAAGCAGUCUACCACUGAGCUUCAUCCCCAGCCAUGUGUCAAAAAUAAAAAGGGCUAAAGAUGGUAGCUCAGUGGUAAAAUCCCCUUGGGCUCUAUCACAAGCACCAAGGAAAGAAAGGGAGGGAGGCAGGCAGGCAGGCAAGUUUAAUCUGAAAAAGGAAUAAAUGAGGUGUGACUAUCUGCCUUAAAUGUCUCAAUUUAGGAAAUUGGAGGAACAGUACAUAGACCAUAAUUCUGUCCCAAUUAACUGGACUUAAUUGAACAAUUUAAGGAAAAAAAUGAGCUAUAAAAGAGGGGGAGAGUGAAAAAUCCCUCCUAGCUAAGAUACUUCUUUCCAGGCUUUAUAAUAUUGGGAUCUACCAGGUAUCAGGGAGGUGUGGGGGCUUGCUGCAGAAAUUGGUUCUUUUUCAUGUUCCUACCAUAUGGGUUGGGACAUAAUGCAGGCUGCAUCCUGUUUGGUGUUUCCCAGUAGACAGGUUAAGGGAUUGUUGACCAAGACAGCACUGUAUUCUUUGUAUUCACUCCAAAGGCUUUUUCUAUUUGCACCCAGGGUUGUGGAGAAAGAGCCAUCCUCACCAACCAAGCUUUGACAUUUUGUGAACUAGCAGGGUAGAUAUAUACUCACUCCUGAGUCCCUCAGUCUGUGCACCACGGGGCAGGGCAGACAUCCACACCUUGUUGUAUUCCCCAAUGCCUCAGAGAGUUGGAGGAAGCAAUCAAACCUCUGAAUUGUGUGCUGGAGAUGGGGGUGCUAGUUGUGAGUACCAAGCAAUUUUAUUCUCAGUCUUAGAGCUUUCAAACCUGGAUGCUGUGCAAAACCACAUGGGAUUGGUCUCUCUCCUUGUCCUAGAGAGCAGGACCAUGAGAUGAUUAGCCCUUUGGUCCCCUCACCAUGAUCCGUAUUGCUCAGCCGGGUUUGUGACAGACAUUCCCUUUCCAUGAAUGUCUCCUGGCUAUUUCCCACCCAGUUGUGUUGGGCCCAAAUAGUGAUGCAUGUUUUCUGAUCCCCAGAGCAGGUUAGUCCUUAACAGUAGAAUCCUUGUAAAGUUAUUGUGUUGUGCAGGAGUAAUCACUUUCAGACCAAAUCUCAAACUGGAUUUAAAGCUUGCAAAAACUGGGCUUUGCUGGGUAUGGUAGCGCAUGUCUAUAAUCCUGGUGGUUCAGGUGGUGGAGGCAAGAGGAUUGCAAGUUCAAAGCCAUUCUCAGCUUAGUGAGGCCCUAAACAACUUAGACCCCAUCUCAAAAUUAAAAAAAAAAAAAAAAAAAGGACUGGGAAUGUGGCUAAGUUAAGUGCCCCUGGAUUCAGUCCCUGGUAC
rnacentral:lncRNA from 1 species